GGACUUAGGCUAAAUUUUAAACCGAGGGCCUUCAAAGCCCUAAAUAAGAGACACCCUCUUAGCCCCUGA
rnacentral:tRNA from 1 species